rnacentral:rRNA from 1 species
GAUCAUGGCUCAGGACGAACGCUGGCGGCGUGCUUAACACAUGCAAGUCGAACGAAAAGAGGGAAAUAGCUUGCUCUUUCCGGAAUUGAGUGGCAAACGGGUGAGUAACACGUAAACAACCUGCCUUCAGGAUGGGGACAACAGACGGAAACGACUGCUAAUACCGAAUAAGUUCCAAGAGCCGCAUGGCCCAUGGAAGAAAAGGUGGCCUCUACCUGUAAGCUAUCGCCUGAAGAGGGUUGUCG